rnacentral:lncRNA from 1 species
GAGAUACUACCUUGGUAUUCAAUGUCAGUGACACUCAUUAAUUAUGCAUCUUCUUGUCUGAAAUAAUUUGUCUUAGAAGCCAUUCAUUUUAGGUGAUCAGUAAACAUUUCAUGGCUUAAGUGCAUAGGAACAUGAGUUGGGUAACGGCUUUAGUUGUAAAGAGCAAAGCCUGUUAAAGUAUAAAAUUUUGGCACGCUCAGUUUACCAAUAAUGUAAGCUGAACAACAUAGCAAACACAGCGUAGCAGUAAUCCCAUAUUAACUUGCGGCCAGCUGUUUCGUGCUCUAUGUAAUACCGCUGUGUCUAAUUUUUGACUUAUGUUUGAAGACUUGUGUUUCAAGAUUGCCAGCUGUGAGGAUGAAGCAGCUUCAUAGCCGGACAUCACACGCCUUCCAAGUUCCCCUUUUCAGCAACAGAGACCUAGGAUGCCAUUCUACCUGUGCUGCAUUGUGUGGCUGACCACUCCAACGAUCCCAACAGAAUCAUUACACAGAAUGGAAAUAACUUACAUGAAACAAGGUGAAGCCGCAAUUGCCUCGCAUGUUGUCUGGUCGUGAUGCGUGGCUAAAGUGUGAGUUUUGUUGAACACAGUACUGCCGCCACAUUUGUUUGUGUUUCACAAUGCAUGAGGGCAGGUUGUUUCACACAGAUGAGUCAUGCUCCCCCAAAUACAUUAAUACAGCAUCCCAUCUGUCCAAUGUAGGCACAACCUUUUUAGGACUCCAGACUACACAAAAGUUAUGGCCUAAUUUGAUGGAUGCAUAUUAUGCCGCGAGCCACAACAAACCUUCUUCAUUUUUUGAUUUCUGCCUUUUUUUGUCACAGCAC